AAAAAAAAUGUAACAGCAUCUAAUGCUUUUAUCUUGCAGUGAAACGCAUCUAAGAAGAUGAAUCAAAUCAAGUGAGCCACAGAGAUGGCAUCGUCCAAGAGCACAGGCAUUUCAUCCAGAGGCAGUGAGUGAACUUUGUGUCCUGAAACCAGAAUCAGUUGGGAAGAAUGGAAUCAAUUCUACCCCAUAAAAGGCUUACACAGGUCCCCUUCCAGAUGCUGAUGUCUUGGCUUCUGGUGCAAAACUAAGUCAGAUUAAUCCCAAGCCUUUGCUGCCACACAUACUUGAGGGCAUGUCAAAA